GGGCACAGGGGAGGGGUCGCCGGGAAACCUCUGCACCUACUAUGCUGGAGCACACGAGAUGCUCCGGGGUCCUUUGCGUAAGGCUGUGGGAAGGUGAGAUCAUUUCAGGAAAUGGGAGGGAUUUGAGCUUUCACAAGUCCUUGGGAGCCGAUGCGAAGGUUCUCGGACCUUCCUGGGGCAGUAGCGGCCCCGAAGGAAUCUCUGAAUGGCCCGUCUCUAGGAUCAAGUGGCUUUUCCACUUCCACUCAAGGCAGUGCCCAGGCCGCGUCUUCGAACCCGACGAGGAGUCAGCCAGGCACAGGAAUCAUGAAGUCUGGAAUGGAUGCAGGGCCCAAGUUUUGGUGACCGGGAGGCUCACCUCUGCUGCCCUUGACAUGACCACAGAGCAAAGGCGACCUCUUAGCAGUUGGAGAGCUACCAACAGCAGGCCUGAGACCACACCAGCCCCAUACAAUGGAUUUCUUACAAAAAUUCUGGCAGCUGCUUUCUGAGCUGCAAUACAACAGAGAGUGAAGAUUCAGUACCUGGCACUAGGAUAAGGCUGGGUCUGGCUCUACCAGUUCCUUGCCAUGUGCCUUUGACCAAAUUCAUUCCACAAUCUCAGUGUUCUCAUUUAUUAACUAAGGAGAAUAGUAAUCUGCUUCCGGUUGUUGGGAAUUAAAUAGUACUGGAACAGUG